rnacentral:rRNA from 1 species
GGUUAAGCGACUAAGCGUACACGGUGGAUGCCCUGGCAGUCAGAGGCGAUGAAGGACGUGCUAAUCUGCGAAAAGCGUCGGUAAGGUGAUAUGAACCGUUAUAACCGGCGAUGUCCGAAUGGGGAAACCCAGUGCAAUUCGUUGCACUAUCGUUAACUGAAUACAUAGGUUAACGAGGCGAACCGGGGGAACUGAAACAUCUAAGUACCCCGAGGAAAAGAAAUCAACCGAGAUUCCCCCAGUAGCGGCGAGCGAACGGGGAGCAGCCCAGAGUCUGAAUCAGCUUGUGUGUUAGUGGAACGGUCUGGAAAGUCCGACGGUACAGGGUGAUAGUCCCGUACACCAAAAUGCACAGGUUGUGAACUCGAAGAGUAGGGCGGGACACGUGGUAUCCUGUCUGAAUAUGGGGGGACCAUCCUCCAAGGCUAAAUACUCCUGACUGACCGAUAGUGAACCAGUACCGUGAGGGAAAGGCGAAAAGAACCCCGGCGAGGGGAGUGAAAAAGAACCUGAAACCGUGUACGUACAAGCAGUGGGAGCACCUUCGGGUGUGACUGCGUACCUUUUGUAUAAUGGGUCAGCGACUUAUAUUCUGUAGCAAGGUUAACCGUAUAGGGGAGCCGCAGGGAAACCGAGUCUUAACUGGGCGUUAAGUUGCAGGGUAUAGACCCGAAACCCGGUGAUCUAGCCAUGGGCAGGUUGAAGGUUGGGUAACACUAACUGGAGGACCGAACCGACUAAUGUUGAAAAAUUAGCGGAUGACUUGUGGCUGGGGGUGAAAGGCCAAUCAAACCGGGAGAUAGCUGGUUCUCCCCGAAAGCUAUUUAGGUAGCGCCUCGUGAAUUCAUCUUCGGGGGUAGAGCACUGUUUCGGCUAGGGGGUCAUCCCGACUUACCAACCCGAUGCAAACUACGAAUACCGAAGAAUGUUAUCACGGGAGACACACGGCGGGUGCUAACGUCCGUCGUGAAGAGGGAAACAACCCAGACCGCCAGCUAAGGUCCCAAAGUCAUGGUUAAGUGGGAAACGAUGUGGGAAGGCACAGACAGCCAGGAUGUUGGCUUAGAAGCAGCCAUCAUUUAAAGAAAGCGUAAUAGCUCACUGGUCGAGUCGGCCUGCGCGGAAGAUGUAACGGGGCUAAACCAUGCACCGAAGCUGCGGCAGCGACACUAUGUGUUGUUGGGUAGGGGAGCGUUCUGUAAGCCUGCGAAGGUGACCUGUGAGGGUUGCUGGAGGUAUCAGAAGUGCGAAUGCUGACAUAAGUAACGAUAAAGCGGGUGAAAAGCCCGCUCGCCGGAAGACCAAGGGUUCCUGUCCAACGUUAAUCGGGGCAGGGUGAGUCGACCCCUAAGGCGAGGCCGAAAGGCGUAGUCGAUGGGAAACAGGUUAAUAUUCCUGUACUUGGUGUUACUGCGAAGGGGGGACGGAGAAGGCUAUGUUAGCCGGGCGACGGUUGUCCCGGUUUAAGCAUGUAGGCUGGUUGUCCAGGCAAAUCCGGAUAAUCAAGGCUGAGGUGUGAUGACGAGGCACUACGGUGCUGAAGUAACAAAUGCCCUGCUUCCAGGAAAAGCCUCUAAGCAUCAGGUAACAUUAAAUCGUACCCCAAACCGACACAGGUGGUCAGGUAGAGAAUACCAAGGCGCUUGAGAGAACUCGGGUGAAGGAACUAGGCAAAAUGGUGCCGUAACUUCGGGAGAAGGCACGCUGGUGUGUAGGUGAAGUCCCUGCGGAUGGAGCUGAGACCAGUCGAAGAUACCAGCUGGCUGCAACUGUUUAUUAAAAACACAGCACUGUGCAAACACGAAAGUGGACGUAUACGGUGUGACGCCUGCCCGGUGCCGGAAGGUUAAUUGAUGGGGUUAUCCGUAAGGAGAAGCUCUUGAUCGAAGCCCCGGUAAACGGCGGCCGUAACUAUAACGGUCCUAAGGUAGCGAAAUUCCUUGUCGGGUAAGUUCCGACCUGCACGAAUGGCGUAAUGAUGGCCAGGCUGUCUCCACCCGAGACUCAGUGAAAUUGAACUCGCUGUGAAGAUGCAGUGUACCCGCGGCAAGACGGAAAGACCCCGUGAACCUUUACUAUAGCUUGACACUGAACAUUGAGCCUUGAUGUGUAGGAUAGGUGGGAGGCUUUGAAGCGUGGACGCCAGUCUGCGUGGAGCCAACCUUGAAAUACCACCCUUUAAUGUUUGAUGUUCUAACGUUGGCCCCUGACCGGGGUUGCGGACAGUGUCUGGUGGGUAGUUUGACUGGGGCGGUCUCCUCCCAAAGCGUAACGGAGGAGCACGAAGGUUAGCUAAUCCUGGUCGGACAUCAGGAGGUUAGUGCAAUGGCAUAAGCUAGCUUGACUGCGAGCGUGACGGCGCGAGCAGGUGCGAAAGCAGGUCAUAGUGAUCCGGUGGUUCUGAAUGGAAGGGCCAUCGCUCAACGGAUAAAAGGUACUCCGGGGAUAACAGGCUGAUACCGCCCAAGAGUUCAUAUCGACGGCGGUGUUUGGCACCUCGAUGUCGGCUCAUCACAUCCUGGGGCUGAAGUAGGUCCCAAGGGUAUGGCUGUUCGCCAUUUAAAGUGGUACGCGAGCUGGGUUUAGAACGUCGUGAGACAGUUCGGUCCCUAUCUGCCGUGGGCGCUGGAGAAUUGAGGGGGGCUGCUCCUAGUACGAGAGGACCGGAGUGGACGCAUCACUGGUGUUCGGGUUGUCAUGCCAAUGGCACUGCCCGGUAGCUAAAUGCGGAAGAGAUAAGUGCUGAAAGCAUCUAAGCACGAAACUUGCCCCGAGAUGAGUUCUCCCUGAGACUUUAAGUCUCCUGAAGGAACGUUAAAGACGAUGACGUUGAUAGGCCGGGUGUGUAAGCGCAGCGAUGCGUUGAGCUAACCGGUACUAAUGAACCGUGAGGCUUAACCUU